UACGUAGGGUGCGAGCGUUGUCCGGAAUUACUGGGCGUAAAGAGCUCGUAGGUGGUUUGUCGCGUUGUUCGUGAAAACUCACAGCUCAACUGUGGGCGUGCGGGCGAUACGGGCAGACUGGAGUACUGCAGGGGAGACUGGAAUUCCUGGUGUAGCGGUGGAAUGCGCAGAUAUCAGGAGGAACACCGGUGGCGAAGGCGGCUCUCUGGGCCUUACCUGACGCUGAGGAGCGAAAGCGUGGGUAGCGAACAGG
rnacentral:rRNA from 1 species